UACGAAGGGGGCUAGCGUUGUUCGGAUUUACUGGGCGUAAAGCGCGUGUAGGCGGGUCGUUAAGUUGGAGGUGAAAUCCCGAGGCUCAACCUCGGAACUGCCUUCAAAACUGGCGACCUGGACUCAAGUAGAGGCAAGUGGAAUUGCGAGUGUAGAGGUGAAAUUCGUAGAUAUUCGCAGGAACACCAGUGGCGAAGGCGACUUGCUGGACUUGUAGUGACGCUGAGAAGCGAAAGCGUGGGGAGCAAACAGG
rnacentral:rRNA from 1 species